CAGCCGCCGCGGUAAUCCGUAGGGUGCGAGCGCUAAUCGGAAUUACUGGGCGUAAAGCGUGCGCAGGCGGUUGUGUAAGACAGGUGUGAAAUCCCCCGGGCUUAACCUGGGAACUGCGCUUGUGACUGCACAGCUAGAGUAUGGCAGAGGGGGGUGGAAUUCCACGUGUAGCAGUGAAAUGCGUAGAGAUGUGGAGGAACACCGAUGGCGAAGGCAGCCCCCUGGGCCAAUACUGACGCUCAUGCACGAAAGCGUGGGGAGCAAACAGGAUUAGAGACCCGUGUAGUCCCUGUCUCUUAUA
rnacentral:rRNA from 1 species